rnacentral:rRNA from 1 species
GAUGAACGCUGGCGGCGUGCCUAAUACAUGCAAGUCGAGCGAUCGGACGAAAAGCUUUCUUUUCUUAUGUUAGCGGCGGACGGGUGAGAAACACGUGGAUAACCCUCCUCUAUGGCUGGGAUAACUUAGGGAAACCGGAAUUCAUGACGGCAAAUCUUUUCAACCGCAUGGUUGAGGAGUGAAAGACGGUCUUGCUGUGGCUUAUCGAUGGAUCCGCGCUGUAUUAGGUAGUUGGUAGGGUAACGGCUUACCAAGGCAACGAUGCAUAGCCGACCUGAGAGGGUGAUCGGCCACACGGGAACUGAGACACGGUCCAGACUCCUACGGGAGGCAGCAGUCGGGAAUCUUCCGCAAUGGGCGAAAGCCUGACGGAGCGACGCCGCGUGAGUGAUGAAGGUCUUCGGAUCGUAAAGCUCUGUUAUUGGGGAAGAACAUAUGUGAGAGGAAAUGUGCACAUAUUGACGGUACCUAAACAGGAAGCCACGGCUAACUACGUG